rnacentral:rRNA from 1 species
UACGUAGGGGGGCGAGCGUUGUCCGGAAUCAUUGGGCGUAAAGCGCACGUAGGCGGCUUGGUAUGUCGGGUGUGAAAUCCCCGGGCUCAACCUGGGAACUGCAUCCGAAACUGCCUUGCUCGAGUAUGGGAGAGGGAAGUGGAAUUUCCGGUGUAGCGGUGAAAUGCGUAGAUAUCGGAAGGAACAUCAGUGGCGAAGGCGACUUCCUGGACCAAUACUGACGCUCAGGUGCGAAAGCGUGGGGAGCAAACAGG